CUAGGUAGUAAUAGCAAAGAGGAUACACCUGUUCCCAUCCCGAACACAGUAGUUAAGCUCUUUAGCGCCGAUGGUAGUUGGGGGUUUCCCCCUGUGAGAGUAGGACGUUGCCAAGC
rnacentral:rRNA from 1 species